UAUAAGAAAUAUGAUUAUUUUAUUUGCGGUGAGGUCGUAGUUCUUAUAUCAUCCUUCCUUCAUUAUCUAUACCGUAAUUGAUAAUGGUGUGGUGGGUUGAUAAAUAUACUCCAAGUCCGGAUAUUUGUAGAUCUGGGAGUCUGUGCUUUUACCAGUAUCAAGAUCCAAACGAAGAAGAUAGAGUGUUUCCUGCAAUAAAUAUUAUUUUUAAUUUUUAUAAACGAAGAUAUACCACGCAUGAUUUACAUACCCUUAUAAAGUCGGGUGUAAACAUAUUCAAUAUUGAUCGAACAGAACACGAUGAAGAGUUCUUCAAAGAAACUGUUGCUACGAUACUUAAAGCUAAGAGAAUGCCAGAGAUGUUCCCUUCAGAGUACGAAGUCCCUAUAACAAUUGCAGUUACACUCUCAAUCAACAAACCUAUACCUAUUGAUGACGUAGUGGAUGUAAUAAUUAUUAAAAAUGUGAAUAAUUUGAACCAAUACCUGAAGCUAAAACAAGAGUGCGAGUGGUCUAAAAAAACGAUUCUGUUAUGGUUAAAUAAGUGGGAUGAUGAAGAAGCGGAACAAUUA